CCUACGGGAGGCAGCAGUGGGGAAUAUUGGACAAUGGGGGGAACCCUGAUCCAGCGACGCCGCGUGAGUGAAGAAGUAUUUCGGUAUGUAAAGCUCUUUCAGCAGGGAAGAAAAUGACGGUACCUGACUAAGAAGCCCCGGCUAACUACGUGCCAGCAGCCGCGGUAAUACGUAGGGGGCACGCGUUAUCCGGAUUUACUAGGUGUAAAGGGAGCGUAGACGGUGCAGCAAGUCUGAUGUGAAAGCUCCGGGCGCAACCCCGGGACUGCAUUGGAAACUGUUUAACUGGAGUACAGGAGAGGUAAGUGGAAUUCCUGGUGUAGCGGUGAAAUGCGUAGAGAUUAGGAGGAAUACCAGUGGCGAAGGCGGCUUACUGGACUGUAACUGACGUUGAGGUUCGAAAGCGUGGGGAGCAAACAGGAUUAGAUACCCUGGUAGUC
rnacentral:rRNA from 1 species